UGAAGAAUACAAAUGUAGCCCUAUAGGUGG
rnacentral:piRNA from 1 species